CUGAAUAACUUUGCGGACCACAUGGCCCUAGAACCGGGGACAUAUCUUUCAAGGGCCGGCCCUAUCAACUUUCGAGGGUAGUUUAUGUGCCUCCCAGGGUGGUAACGGGAAACGAAAAAUAAGGGUUCGACCCCGAAGAGGGAGCCUGAAAAAUGGCUACCACAUCCAAGGAAGGCAGCAGGCGCGCAAAUUACCCACUCUCAGUACGAGAAGGAAGUGACGAAAAAUAACGAGAUGGUUCUCUAUGAUCCCCAUCUUCGAAAUGAACACAUUUUAAACCUUUUAACGAGGAUCUAUUGGAGGGCAAGUCUGGUGCCAGCAGCCGCGAAAUUUCCAGCUCCAAUAGCAUAUACCAAUUCUGUUGCUGUUAAAAA
rnacentral:rRNA from 1 species